AUCAGAGGUUGGAAGGAGAAGAAACUCUCCUUUGGAGGAAGAGAAGUGUUGCUAAAGGCUAUCAUUCAAGCUAUUCCUUCAUAUGCUAUGCAAGUGUUUAAGCUACCAAAACAGAUUUGCAAUGCUAUAACAACUGCUAUUUCACAGUACUGGUGGGGAGAUGAGGAUGACAAGAAGCAUAUGCACUGGUUUGCGUGGUGGAAAAUGUGUGUGCCAAAGAGCAAUGGAGGUAUGGGUUUUAGAGAUGUACACUGUUUCAACCUGGCGCUCCUAGCAAAGCAAUGUUGGAGAUUGUUAGCAGAACCUGAGUCUUUAUGUGCAAGAGUAUUGAGGGCAAAGUAUUUCCCGGACGGCGAU
rnacentral:rRNA from 1 species